rnacentral:rRNA from 1 species
GGGAGGUAGUGACAAUAAAUAACAAUACGGGGUUCUAUAGGAUUUCGUAAUUGGAAUGAGUACAAUUUAAAUCUCUUAACGAUCAAUAAUUGGAGGGCAAGUCUGGUGCCAGCAGCCGCGGUAAUUCCAGCUCCAAUAGCGUAUAUUAAAGUUGUUGCAGUUAAAAAGCUCGUAGUUGAAUUUCGGGAUCAGUACGUUGGUCGUGCCUUAGGUACGUACUGGUGUUACUGGUUCCUACCUUCUGACGAACCAUCAUGUCAUUCAUUUGGUGUGGCGGGGAAUCAGGACUGUUACUUUGAAAAAUUAGAGUGUUUAAAGCAGGCUCGCGCUUGAAUACAUUAGCAUGGAAUAAUGAAAUAGGACGUUGAUCCUAUUUUGUUGGUUUCUAGGGUUGACGUAAUGAUUAAUAGGGAUAGUUGGG